UUGUGUGCGAGUUUCUUCGUCCUCGGCUAGAAGCAUUAUCAGAAAUACAGGAUGAAAAAGAAGACGAAGAGUAAACACAGCAGAGGUACAAGGCACUCGACCCAAAUAUUCUUUCCUCUCUGACUUCAGGAAAUAUUAUAUUGAUUUUCUGGGAAAGCAAAGAGCCCCAGGACAGACUUGGACAUAAUGACCUUCCUCCUCUUACAAGAGGCUGAGACCAUUAUAGUAAGAAGCAUGGAGAUCAGCCACCCAGAUGGCUGGUGCCAGUACCUUGACGAAUGUUUCCAAAUCCCCAUUAAACAACUUAGUAUUAUACUGUGA
rnacentral:lncRNA from 1 species